GACGAACGCUGGCGGCGUGCUUAACACACGCAAGUCGAACGAUGAAGCCCAGCUUGCUGGGUGGAUUAGUGGCGAACGGGUGAGUAACACGUGGGCAACCUGCCCCAAACUCUGGGAUAACUCCUCGAAAGAGGUGCUAAUACCGGAUACGAACUAGGUAGACAUCUGCACUAGUUGGAAAGUUUUUCGGUUUGGGAUGGGCCCGCGGCCUAUCAGCUUGUUGGUGAGGUAACGGCUCACCAAGGCUACGACGGGUAACCGGCCUGAGAGGGCGACCGGUCACACUGGGACUGAGACACGGCCCAGACUCCUACGGGAGGCAGCAGUGGGGAAUAUUGCGCAAUGGGCGAAAGCCUGACGCAGCGACGCCGCGUGAGGGAUGAAGGUCUUCGGAUCGUAAACCUCUUUCAGUAGGGACGAAGCGAAAGUGACGGUACCUAAAGAAGAAGCACCGGCUAACUACGUGCCAGCAGCCGCGGUAA
rnacentral:rRNA from 1 species